UACGUAGGGGGGCAAGCGUUGUCCGGAUUUACUGGGCGUAAAGAGCGCGUAGGCGGAAGCUUAAGUGUGGCCUGAAAGCCCCCCGGCUCAACCGGGGAGGGUGGCUGCAAACUGGGUUUCUUGAGGGCGAUAGAGGAGAGUGGAAUUCCUGGUGUAGCGGUGAAAUGCGUAGAUAUCAGGAGGAACACCAGUGGCGAAGGCGGCUCUCUGGAUCGGCCCUGACGCUGAGGCGCGAAAGCGUGGGGAGCGAACGGG
rnacentral:rRNA from 1 species